ensembl:snRNA U1 U1 spliceosomal RNA
AUACUCAUUCCACUGGGUAGAUGCCAUGAUCACGAAGGUCGUUUUUCCAGGGCUAGGCGAUAACAUUGCACUCUGGAUGUGCUAACCCCUUCGAUUUCUCCCCAUGUGGCAAACUAGACUACAUAAUUUGUGGUAGUGAGGGACUGCUUUCAUGCUCUCCCUUG